rnacentral:rRNA from 1 species
AACCGGAUUAGAUACCCUGUAGGUCCACGCCCUAAACGAUGUCGACUUGGAGGUUGUUCCCUUGAGGAGUGGCUUCCGGAGCUAACGCGUUAAGUCGACCGCCUGGGGAGUACGGCCGCAAGGUUAAAACUCAAAUGAAUUGACGGGGGCCCGCACAAGCGGUGGAGCAUGUGGUUUAAUUCGAUGCAACGCGAAGAACCUUACCUACUCUUGACAUCCAGCGAACUUAGCAGAGAUGCUUUGGUGCCUUCGGGAACGCUGAGACAGGUGCUGCAUGGCUGUCGUCAGCUCGUGUUGUGAAAUGUUGGGUUAAGUCCCGCAACGAGCGCAACCCUUAUCCUUUGUUGCCAGCGAUUCGGUCGGGAACUCAAAGGAGACUGCCGGUGAUAAACCGGAGCAAGGUGGGGAUGACGUCAAGUCAUCAUGGCCCUUACGAGUAGGGCUACACACGUGCUACAAUGGGCAUACAAAGAGAAGCGACCUCGCGAGAGCAAGCGGACCUCACAAAGUGCGUCGUAGUCCGGAUCGGAGUCUGCAACUCGACUCCGUGAAGUCGGAAUCGCUAGAAUCGGGUCAGAAUGCCGCG